AACGAACGCUGGCGGCAGGCCUAACACAUGCAAGUCGAACGCCCCGCAAGGGGAGUGGCAGACGGGUGAGUAACGCGUGGGAACCUACCUCUCGGUGCGGAAUGACUUCGGGAAACCAAAGCUAAUACCGCAUACGCCCUACGGGGGAAAGAUUUAUCGCCGAUAGAUGGGCCCGCGUCGGAUUAGCUAGUUGGUGAGGUAACGGCUCACCAAGGCUACGAUCCGUAGCUGGUCUGAGAGGAUGAUCAGCGACACUGGGACUGAGACACGGCCCAGACUCCUACGGGAGGCAGCAGUGGGGAAUAUUGGACAAUGGGCGCAAGCCUGAUCCAGCCAUGCCGCGUGAGUGAAGAAGGCCUUAGGGUUGUAAAGCUCUUUUAGUGGGGACGAUAAUGACGGUACCCACAGAAUAAGCCCCGGCUAACUUCGUGCCAGCCGCCGCCGCAA
rnacentral:rRNA from 1 species